AACGAACGCUGGCGGCAGGCCUAACACAUGCAAGUCGAACGGGACCUUCGGGUCUAGUGGCGGACGGGUGAGUAACGCGUGGGAACGUGCCCUUUGGUUCGGAAUAGCCCCGGGAAACUGGGAGUAAUACCGGAUAAGCCCUACGGGGGAAAGAUUUAUCGCCAAAGGAUCGGCCCGCGUUGGAUUAGGUAGUUGGUGAGGAAAUGGGUCACCCAGCCGACGAUCCAUAGCUGGUUUGGGAAGAUGAUCAACCACACUGGGACUGAGACACGGCCCAGACUCCUACGGGAGGCAGCAGUGGGGAAUCUUAGACAAUGGGGGAAACCCUGAUCUAGCCAUGCCGCGUGAUCGAUGAAGGCCUUAGGGUUGUAAAGAUCUUUCAGUGGGGAAGAUAAUGACUGUACCCACAGAAGAAGCCCCGGCUAACUCCGUGCCAGCCGCCGCUGUAA
rnacentral:rRNA from 1 species